GAUGAACGCUGGCGGCGUGCCUAAUACAUGCAAGUCGAGCGAACGGACGAGAAGCUUGCUUCUCUGAUGUUAGCGGCGGACGGGUGAGUAACACGUGGAUAACCUACCUAUAAGACUGGGAUAACUUCGGGAAACCGGAGCUAAUACCGGAUAAUAUUUUGAACCGCAUGGUUCAAAAGUGAAAGACGGUCUUGCUGUCACUUAUAGAUGGAUCCGCGCUGCAUUAGCUAGUUGGUAAGGUAACGGCUUACCAAGGCAACGAUGCAUAGCCGACCUGAGAGGGUGAUCGGCCACACUGGAACUGAGACACGGUCCAGACUCCUACGGGAGGCAGCAGUAGGGAAUCUUCCGCAAUGGGCGAAAGCCUGACGGAGCAACGCCGCGUGAGUGGUGAAGGUCUUCGGAUCGUAAAACUCUGUUAUUAGGGAAGAACAUAUGUGUAAGUAACUGUGCACAUCUUGACGGUACCUAAUCAGAAAGCCACGGCUAACUACGUGCCAGCAGCCGCGGUAAUACGUAGGUGGCAAGCGUUAUCCGGAAUUAUUGGGCGUAAAGCGCGCGUAGGCGGUUUUUUAAGUCUGAUGUGAAAGCCCACGGCUCAACCGUGGAGGGUCAUUGGAAACUGGAAAACUUGAGUGCAGAAGAGGAAAGUGGAAUUCCAUGUGUAGCGGUGAAAUGCGCAGAGAUAUGGAGGAACACCAGUGGCGAAGGCGACUUUCUGGUCUGUAACUGACGCUGAUGUGCGAAAGCGUGGGGAUCAAACAGGAUUAGAUACCCUGGUAGUCCACGCCGUAAACGAUGAGUGCUAAGUGUUAGGGGGUUUCCGCCCCUUAGUGCUGCAGCUAGCGCAUUAAGCACUCCGCCUGGGGAGUACGACCGCAAGGUUGAAACUCAAAGGAAUUGACGGGGACCCGCACAAGCGGUGGAGCAUGUGGUUUAAUUCGAAGCAACGCGAAGAACCUUACCAAAUCUUGACAUCCUUUGACAACUCUAGAGAUAGAGCCUUCCCCUUCGGGGGACAAAGUGACAGGUGGUGCAUGGUUGUCGUCAGCUCGUGUCGUGAGAUGUUGGGUUAAGUCCCGCAACGAGCGCAACCCUUAAGCUUAGUUGCCAUCAUUAAGUUGGGCACUCUAAGUUGACUGCCGGUGACAAACCGGAGGAAGGUGGGGAUGACGUCAAAUCAUCAUGCCCCUUAUGAUUUGGGCUACACACGUGCUACAAUGGACAAUACAAAGGGCAGCGAAACCGCGAGGUCAAGCAAAUCCCAUAAAGUUGUUCUCAGUUCGGAUUGUAGUCUGCAACUCGACUACAUGAAGCUGGAAUCGCUAGUAAUCGUAGAUCAGCAUGCUACGGUGAAUACGUUCCCGGGUCU
rnacentral:rRNA from 1 species